CCCUUAGACGUUCUGGGCCGCACGCGCGCUACACUGACCAGUGCAACAAGCAUCCGUCCUUGGCCGACAGGCCCGGGCAAUCUUUGAACGCUGGUCGUGAUGGGGAUAGACUUUUGCAAUUUUUGGUCUUCAACGAGGAAUUCCUAGUAAACGCAGGUCAUCAACUUGCAUUGAUUACGUCCCUGCCCUUUGUACACACCGCCCGUCGCUCCUACCGAUUGAAUGGUCCGGUGAAGCGUUCGGACCGUGGCCUUUGGACGGUUCGCCGUCUGUUGGCUGCGGGAAGUUCGUUAAACCUUAUCAUUUAGAGGAAGGAGAAGUCGUANCA
rnacentral:rRNA from 1 species